AGUGGCGAACGGGUGAGUAAAACAUCGGAACGUGUCCUGUAGUGGGGGAUAGCCCGGCGAAAGCCGGAUUAAUACCGCAUACGAUCUGCGGAUGAAAGCGGGGGAUCCUUCGGGACCUCGCGCUGCAGGGGCGGCCGAUGGCAGAUUAGCUAGUUGCUGGGGUAAAGGCCUACCAAGGCGACGAUCUGUAGCUGGUCUGAGAGGACGACCAGCCACACUGGGACUGAGACACGGCCCAGACUCCUACGGGAGGCAGCAGUGGGGAAUUUUGGACAAUGGGCGCAAGCCUGAUCCAGCAAUGCCGCGUGUGUGAAGAAGGCCUUCGGGUUGUAAAGCACUUUUGUCCGGAAAGAAAACCUCUUGGUUAAUACCUGAGGGGGAUGACGGUACCGGAAGAAUAAGCACCGGCUAACUACGUGCCAGCAGCCGCGGUGAUACGUAGGGUGCAAGCGUUAAUCGGAAUUACUGGGCGUAAAGCGUGCGCAGGCGGUUCGCUAAGACAGACGUGAAAUCCCCGGGCUUAACCUGGGAACUGCAUUUGU
rnacentral:rRNA from 1 species